rnacentral:misc_RNA from 1 species
CACUCAAGGGAUGCCCAGGCUCUGACGGAUUGUAGGCGCACGGUUUCAGGUACUAUUUCACUCCCCGCCAGGGGUACUUUUCACCUUUCCCUCACGGUACUGGUCCGCUAUCGGUCAUCGAGGAGUAUUUAGGCUUAACGGGUGGUCCCGCCAGAUUCACACGGAAUUUCAGGGGUUCCGUGCUACUUGGGAAAACGCUCCACAGACACGCACUUACACCUACGGGACUCUCACCCUCUCCGGCGCCCCAUUCCAAGGGACUUCAGCUUCACACGCGUUUUCUUACUGCGCGACAGGCCGGCAGACCCAUCCAAGCGCUCCCACAACCCCCCACACACAACCCCUG